rnacentral:sRNA from 1 species
UCCCUGAGUUCUCUGCCUGCCCAGACUAGCUGCACCUCCUCAUUCCCUGCGCCCCCUUCCUCUCCGGAAGCCCCCAGGAUGGUGAGGUGGUUUCACCGAGACCUCAGUGGGCUGGAUGCAGAGACCCUGCUCAAGGGCCGAGGUGUCCACGGUAGCUUCCUGGCUCGGCCCAGUCGCAAGAACCAGGGUGACUUCUCGCUCUCCGUCAGGGUGGGGGAUCAGGUGACCCAUAUUCGGAUCCAGAACUCAGGGGAUUUCUAUGACCUGUAUGGAGGGGAGAAGUUCGCGACUCUGACAGAGCUGGUGGAGUACUACACUCAGCAGCAGGGCGUCCUGCAGGACCGCGACGGCACCAUCAUCCACCUCAAGUACCCGCUGAACUGCUCCGAUCCCACUAGUGAGAGCCAGGAGAGGAGGACGGGCUGACCAGUGCCUGGAGUUGGAAGAGAGGAGCAGGGCCCCAGGAGGCCCCUGCAGAGGAGGCUGAGGCCUGGGGUCAAGGAGGAGAGAGGAGAGAGAGAAGGGAGGGAGGGCAGUGCCGGGGCGGGAGGUUAAGACCAGGGAAGCCACGCUGGAGGCCCUUUUGGGUGACCCAUCCCAGGAGCCAGUGUCACCCCUGAGCCUGGGAGUGUGUGAGAGGCUCUUCUCCCAGGUUCUGCUGUG